GAUGAACGCUAGCGGCAGGCUUAAUACAUGCAAGUCGAGGGGCAGCGGGGGUAGCAAUACCUGCCGGCGACCGGCAAACGGGUGCGGAACACGUACAGAACCUUCCUUUAAGUGGGGGAUAGCCCGAAGAAAUUCGGAUUAAUACCCCGUAACAUUGUGUAGUGGCAUCACUAUAUAAUUAUAGAUUUAUCGCUUAGAGAUGGCUGUGCGGCUGAUUAGGUAGUUGGUGGAGGUAACGGCUCACCAAGCCUUCGAUCAGUAACUGGUGUGAGAGCACGACCAGUCACACGGGCACUGAGACACGGGCCCGACUCCUACGGGAGGCAGCAGUAAGGAAUAUUGGGCAAUGGACGCAAGUCUGACCCAGCCAUGCCGCGUG
rnacentral:rRNA from 1 species